AUGCAGAUGACGAGUCCCAUAUAGGACGAAAUGCGCAUCCUGGAU
rnacentral:hammerhead_ribozyme from 1 species